GAAACCAUGAUUUCAUUAAUAAAUCCAUUCAUUCAUUCAAUGUUAAGACACCAGUUGUAACAUCCAUGUCGUCAUCAACCUGCUAACUAAAUUCUAAUCUGGAACUGAAAACCAACUACAUCAAAAUAUUCACAUGGCUACAAAAUCUAGCAACAAAAUGACCUAUACUAAACCCACUACAUCAAUUGACCCUACCAAUUAAUCACUACAAACACCAGCAACAGACACAAUAGAAUUCCAAGAAACCAAGUUCUGAGAAUGUCUCGGUGACACAAAUCACCAAACAUGUUGUGUGCGUGACGAAGAGUGCCACACCAAGUUCCGAAAUGGUAGCGUGGAGGGAAGCAUCAAUGGAGAUAGAGGGAAGGUCGACAGACACAAGCUUUGAAAACAAAAGAGAAGGUGCUUUGAGGGAUACGUCAGUGAUCGUGGUGACGCUGGACUUGGACGAGGUCUUCAUCAUCGCUAGGCUCUACACCAGAACCGACACUCAUGUAAUCCACAUCAAUCCGACCACGAGGGCAAGCUAGGGUUGAGGCCUUGGAUUUCAUCACCAACGGAUCGCGGUUUGCCUGCAGGAGCAGGACGCUCGUGAGUAGAAGAGAGAGGGAGGAAGAGGGAAUCGCGAGCGAUCGACAGAAUUGGUGCUGGAGGGUGGAGAGAGAAAGUGCCGAGAAGAAAUAAAUCUAAUAUGAAAGACUUUACGGUGAGAUGAAUCUAACAAUAGUGGAGAGAGAAGAAAUAAAUCUAGUAUGGAAGACUUACAAUAUAUUUGCAAGGGUAAGAUGAAUCCAACAAUAUAAAAAAAUUAGUUCACCAUAAACCAACUACAUAGUUGGACCACACUAUCAUUUGUCUAUAAUUUAUAAGAAUGUAAAUAAAUACAUAAAUUAUUUUUUUGGCAUACGAUGCUUCUUAUAUGAAUUAUAGAGUUUCCUA